GGGCAAGGAAAGUUCAGAAAGCUGUGACAAAGUUUGGGAUCUUUAAUACUAUGACAUGCCAGGAAGUAUGAUCAUAUUAGCCCAGUCCUGUCAACACUGCACUGGCUCCCUAUCAAACAUCGUAUAUAUUUUAAAAUCUUGCUUAUUACUUAUAAAGCCCUGAAUGGUUUAGCACCUCAGUAUUUCAACGAGCUCUUGGUACAUUAUAGUCCUCCACGUCCACUGCGUUCUCAAAACUCUGGCAAUUUGAUAACACCUAGAAUAUCAAAGUCAACUGCUGGCAGCAGAUCCUUCUCCUAUUUAGUGCCCAAACUCUGGAAUAACCUACCUAACAUUGUUCGGGAGGCAGACACACUCUUGCAGUUUAAAUCUAGAUUAAAGACCCAUCUCUUUAACCUGGCUUACACAUAACAUACUAAUAAACUUCUAAUAUCCAAAUCCGUUAAAGGAUUUUUAGGCUGCAUUAAUUAGGUAAACCGGAACCGGGAACACUUCCCAUAACACCCGAUGUACUUGCUACAUCGUUAGAAGAAUGGCAUCUACGCUAAUAUUAGUCUGUUUCUCUCUUAUUCUGAGGUCACGGUAGCCACCAGAUCCAGUGUGUAUCCAAGUCAGAGGGUCACUGCAGUCACCCGCAUCCAGUAUGUUUCCAGCCCAGAUGGUGGAUCAGCACAUAGAAAGGACCUCUACUGCCCUGAAAGACAGCGGAGACCAGGACAACUAGAGCCCCAGAGACAGAUCCCCUGUAAAGACCUUGUCUCAGACGACCACCGGGACAAGAAGUGUCCCCAACUAAGCAAGCCAAAAAGGAACCAAAACUCCAUCGGUGACAAAAUGGAGAAAAAACCUUGGGAGAAACCAGGCUCAGUCGGGGGGCCAGUUCUCCUCUGACCAGACGAAACCAGCAGUUCAAUUCCAGGCUGCAGCAAAGUCAGAUUGUGCAGAAGAAUCAUCUGUUUCCUGUGGUCUUUUCCCGGUGGUUAUCUGAGACAAGGUCUGUCUCUAGGUCUCUAGUUGUCCUGGUCUCCGCUGUCUUUCAGGGCUGUAGAGGUCCUUUCUAGGUGCUGGUCCACCAUCUGGGCUGGAUACGUACUGGAUCCGGGUGACUACAGUGACCCUCUGACUUGGAUACAGACUGGAUCUGGUGGCUAUGGUGACCUCGGAAUAAGAGAGAAACAGACUAAUAUUAGCGUAGAUGCCAUUCUUCUAAUGAUGUAGCAAGUACAUCAGGUGUUAUGGGAAGUAUUCCUGGUUCCGGUUUAACUAAUUAAAGCAGCCUAAAAAUCCUUUAACGGAUUUGGAUAUUAGAAGCGUAUUAGUGUGCUAUGUGUAAGCCAGGUUAAAGAGAUGGGUCUUUAAUCUAGAUUUAAACUGCAAGAGGGUGCCUGCCUCCCAAACAAUGUUAUGUAGGUUAUUCCAGAGUUUGGGCGCUAAAUAGGAAAAGGAUCUGCCGCCCGCAGUUGACUUUGAUAUUCUAGGUAUUAUCAAAUUGCCAGAGUUUUGAGAACGGAGCGGACGUGGAGGACUAUAAUGUAACAAGAGCUCGUUCAAAUACUGAGGUGCUAAACCAUUCUUUUGCUUUAUAAGUAAUAAGCAAGAUUUUGAAAUCUAUACGAUGUUUAAUAGGGAGCCAGUGCAGUGUUGACAAGACCGGGCUAAUAUGAUCAUACUUCCUGGUUCUAGUAAGAACUCUAGCUGCUGCAUUUUGGACUAACUGGAGUUUGUUUACUAAGGGUGCAGAACAACCACCCAAUAAAGCAUUACAAUAAUAUAAACGUGCUGGGUGAGAGUACAAGGCUGGACGGAAGUACUCAAUAUUGGUACACUUCGCCCCCGAAAGCGAACCUCAGAAACUUCCUGUGUUGUGGAAGGAUGGAGACAUGGAAGUAUGCGUCUAUGAGAUCUGUCGUAACAAACCAGUCCUCAGACCUGAUUUGUGGUAUAACAUGCUUUAGAAUAAGCAGUCAAAUGCUGCUAAAUGAUCUACUAAGGGAAUCAGUCUCUCGAGACGGACCUCUGGUGUAACUGAGGCAGCUAAAUCGGCGCUUGAAGUAGAACACCAUUCCCAGCAGCCGAUCUAACUAUUUUAGAGACCCCCGAAGGGGUUGCGAGCCUCUCAGCACCGGGCGGCAACACUCUGAUUCUACGCCUCCCUACAUGAGGAGACGGUACCCGCCCAGCAGCCCCUCCAGUAUAUAUAUAUCUUCUCAAAGUGAGAUAAAUGUCAUUAUAUUCCUCAGAAUUUAAUGCAGUCACACAAUCAGACAAGUAUACACGGUCUGGAUUGUGAUACAAUUCAUAUCGAAAGUGAUAUAUCUGACUUCUCAUAGUCAGGUAAACACUGAAUUUAAUUCCUCAGAAUUAAAUGCAGCUAAACAAUCAGACAAGUAUACAUGGUCUGGCGUGGUAAGAUUCAGAUCAAGAAUAAA
ensembl:lncRNA